rnacentral:rRNA from 1 species
UACAGAGGGUGCGAGCGUUGUCCGGAAUCACUGGGCGUAAAGGGCGCGUAGGCGGCAUGACAAGUCACUUGUGAAAUCUCUGGGCUUAACCCAGAACGGCCAAGUGAUACUGUCGCGCUAGAGUGCGGAAGGGGCAAUCGGAAUUCUCGGUGUAGCGGUGAAAUGCGUAGAUAUCGAGAGGAACACCUGAGGUGAAGACGGGUUGCUGGGCCGACACUGACGCUGAGUGCGCGAAAGCCAGGGGAGCAAACGGG